rnacentral:rRNA from 1 species
CUCCUGAAAGUUUUUAGGUAACCCCUGCCCUAUGAAUAGUUUAAAUGGCCGCAGUACUUUGACUGUGCAAAGGUAGCAUAAUCAUUUGUCCCUUAAUUAGGGGCCGGAAUGAAAGGGGCGACGAAAUCUAGACUAUUGGUGAUAGUGUGUAAUUUGACAUAAAGGUUAAAAGGCUUUUAUAGUCCAAAGGGACGAUAAGACCCUAUAAAACUUUACCUUUCAAGCAGGUUUUAUUAGAUUAGGCCGGCGCACAAGGUUGGACUGGGGCGGUAGUAGUAAAAACAAUUAAAUAAAGAAUAUAUUAAAUAAUUUUUAAGAACUCUAUAAAGAAAUAGAACAAGUUACUUUAGGGAUAACAGCAUAAUUCUCCCAGAGAGC